GACGAACGCUGGCGGCGUGCUUAACACAUGCAAGUCGAACGAUGAUCCGGUUUCGGCCGGGGAUUAGUGGCGAACGGGUGAGUAACACGUGGGUGAUCUGCCCUGCACUCUGGGAUAAGCCCGGGAAACUGGGUCUAAUACUGGAUAUGACCGGUGGCCGCAUGGUCUGCCGGUGGAAAGCCUUGUGCGGUGUGGGAUGGGCCCGCGGCCUAUCAGCUUGUUGGUGGGGUAAUGGCCUACCAAGGCGACGACGGGUAGCCGGCCUGAGAGGGAGACCGGCCACACUGGGACUGAGACACGGCCCAGACUCCUACGGGAGGCAGCAGUGGGGAAUAUUGCACAAUGGGCGGAAGCCUGAUGCAGCGACGCCGCGUGAGGGAUGACGGCCUUCGGGUUGUAAACCUCUUUCAGCAGGGAAGAAGCGCAAGUGACGGUACCUGCAGAAGAAGCACCGGCUAACUACGUGCCAGCAGCCG
rnacentral:rRNA from 1 species